CGCAACUCACGUACAUAACCGUAUGCUGUGUAUGCUCUAUGUCCCUAUCUAUACUCUAUACUACUAUCCCUAUAUGUUUUCAUAAACUCCCCUUUGUGUUUUCCUGUAAGCUCUUCGUCGUCUUCUGAUUUUUCCCGCUUAAUCUAUAUACUAUGUAUAUACUGCAGUGUUUCCUACCGUCACCUUAUAAUUAAAAGUACAUAAGCAUAGCCCUCUUUGCAUUUCUCUUUUUAUGAAAAUGUGGGCUGGUUCGGCUAGACAUCAACCCCUGUCACAUACUUAAAUGUUUUUGCACGUAUUCAGGUUUCAACGAUGAACGGCGUACUGCCCACCUUUGUCAAUCUCUUGUCAAAUGUCGUCCCUAAUUGUUGGUCUGCCUCGGCCAAAUCUCGUUGUUAAUAUAUUUUUUAAUUUGCUUAUGUAGUACAAACUGUAACUUAAAUACCGAUUGGCAUAGUGCAUAGAGUGCUAUCCCUCGCAUGAUGAUUCUUUCUGAAGGUGUUCUCUAGUUGCAAGAAGGUGAAAACAAACAAAAAAACUUGCUGUAUGUUUGCUUUAACACUGCUGUGCUGCUUGUUCCUCUGUGCGCUUAGGUUUUCACGGAGUCCUCUCCAGGUUUCAAAAGGACUGAGAUUUUCUGAUUCUCCACCAGCAAGAACGCUCAAGAUGCUUGAAGUGGUAGUUUUCAUCGCUGGCUGCUGCAUUGUCGCAACAGCCCAAUGUACUUGUCAAGAUGGUACUGUCGACGCCCGGAAAAGCAUUGUUGGACCUGGCUCGGGGAAAGCUUUAUCUGGUGAAAACGACAUGCCAGCAAGAUCUAACCUGUUUGUACACGGUUCUUCCACCGGCCGACACUCAGUGGCCGGCCACCUAUCCUUUCGGGUUCAAGAACACUACAACCGGUCAAUGGUGAGUAACUAUAGUUAGUCGAAAAAAGUAAUCCCUUACCGUUACCGUUACUAUGAAAUUGAGCAACGAGCAGAAAAGUAACCGUCGUUACUCCGGUCUUUACUCUACAUUCACGCAAAUUAUAACUUUCUUUGUGUGCCGCAGAAAAAAAAAAGAAAAAGAAAGAAAGAAAGAAAAAGGGUCAAUAGGGCGGAAGACGUGACAUAACACGAAAAACAAAUGCAUGAUGUCAAACCCCGAGACUAGGGAACACGAAGGGACAGACACAAACACGAAG